AUUAGCAGCCAUAUCACCCUGCAGCUCACAGCUCACAGCUGGCAGCCCCAUUGAAGCUCAGCGGGUGUGAGCCUGACCAGUACCUGGAUGGGAGACCUACUGGGAAAGCUAAGGUUGCUGCUGGAA
rnacentral:rRNA from 1 species